UUCAAUCCCUGUAGGUCUUCAUAGUCUAACCCAAUUUAGUUCCUUUCCUCCAAUUUUACUCCCCUCUCUACUUGUGGCGAUUUGUUGCAGAAUUCAACACUGACCCAUUGGGCAUGAUAUAAAGGGUAUUCAGAAAGCAGCCAAAUCCAGUUGGCGAUUUGUUGCAGAAUUCCAGACUGAUUUUGGGGGCGAGACAUCUGAUUACUGAUUUCUUAAUCAGAAAGCAGCCAAAUCCAGUUGGGUCCAAAUAUCUUAUAAACCGAUGUGAUGAUAAAAUCAGGCCGGAAAAGGGUCAGUCCAAGUGAAUCCAUGCCCUUGGGGACCCAGUGAGCCAGCACCAAGCAAGACAUGCCAAUUGUUCUGCCGAGCCGGUGCCAGUGCCAUCCAUUGGUAAGACUAACCAGGCUCUCUUUCUCCCUAAAUGUUGGGAGGUUGUGAAAGAGGCAGGAUAUAACAAUAUCAUGAUCUCUGUUUGUUUUUUUAUAUAAUAGCUGUGCACAUUUUCUGGUGUUAUAAGUCGAGCAAACUACCUGAAAUCAUUUGCUCACUUAUAUCUGCAGGAUAUAACAAUAUCAUAAUCUCUGUUUGUUUUUUUAUAUAAUAGUUGUGUACAUUUUCUGAUGAUGAUACGUAUCUUCAACUCAAUUACGUAUGUUUGCAUCAUAAUUAUAACUACUGGACCAAAUUCUGGAAUGAUGGCAUUCUAAAACCCGGUAAAGUAGUUCUAAGUCAGCCGCGCGACGUAUCUGACAAUUAUCUUGACCGUUGUAGUGGGUUAAUUCUGUUCUUUAACCUAAGACUUGUCAAUUCUGUGUGUUCAACCCCAUCACUGAACCACAUGUCUCCAUACCUAUAGCGUGUGCACAUGAGCGUGAGCAUUUUUGCGCUGCCUUGGCUUUUGACCCUAUUGAAUCCAACCACUAGAGUUAUUCGAAUUGAUCAUUCCCCACAAUCCAAAUCCAGUGGUUCCACAGUCCCAACGCGAACCCUCACCCCGAUGGCAGACAUAUUUCGCAAUCUGGACAGUGGGUCAACUUGACCCCAUGUUCAUUGAUGGGUUUAAAAGUUCCAAGGUUUGCAGGCAUUUUGUAUACUUGCAGGGGGUGUUAUAUGGCCGUGCUAGUUCACAGGAAGGUUUGUGUAUUGACCCCAAUACCAUUAAAGCUCGAGCCUUUGAAUGCUCUCAUGUUCUUGCAGACGAUGAUAGGACCAGUGCAGCAAUGGGAUGUCUUGGGAUGUCAAAGGAUCUUGUUUGUUAUGUAACAUGUGAUGGUUCAAAUACUUUUCGUUUUUGGUCUUAUAAUGACCAACGUGAAUCUGGUGACCAAUGGACUCUCAAAUAUAGUUUUGUUAGGAAUAGUUUGGUAUGGGGGGCGGAUACAAUGUUUAUACCCAGUGCAGAUAUAGUGUUUAAACCCAAUGCAAUAAGUCUGAAUGCUCAUGUCAUCUUCUAUGACACUUCAGAAUUGAUCUUUAGCUGGGACUUUGAAAGCCAGAAAUGUAAACUGUUCAACAAGUCAAAGGUAAAGAUGGCUCAAAACCUGGUUAUAACUUUCCCUUCUUUACCCAACGUCCUUGCUUGAUGCCUUACUACAGUUUGGGUGAGAGGAAUAUUGCCGGCUUUACUCCAUUGGAACCUUUUGAAGGGAGCAGAGAUUUCGAGUGCGGAAGCAUUACCAUGUGAGUGUGAUAAUCUAAAAGAUAGCUUUCAAGUUGUACGCGGUCGUUCGUAUUGGAAUAUGUUGUUCAAGAGGCGGUUUCUUUUUCCGAGUGAAAUGCAGUUAUGUGCUGGAAUGGAGCUGCCGGAUUAAUGGUGAUUUUCAGGCUAUCCGAUCACCAUGAAUAAGAUUUCUACUUUUCAGAUUAGGUGGUUUCCUUAAAUAAAAAUUUAGAUUGGAUCAAAUCAAAGUAAUUUCAGAAUUUCCAGAACAUAAUUCAUUAUUCAUAUAAUUUACAAGUUUUUGAAAAUUUUCAACCUUUUUAAGUAUAUAAUGACAAUUUUGAAUUGAAAGUGCUUGAUGUUACUGGGUUUUCCAGUUCAAGGUUGAGUAUCACACAUCACAGGCUUCGGUAUCCCUAUCUAAACAGGUCAGCUUUUAGCUUAGGCACCUCUCUUCUGUUUUUUCCUGCUCAACAAAGAAUUUCCACUAGUCGUAAUCGAUAACUUAGGGUUCUUUGUACAUUUUUGUUUGAUCUACAUAAGUUGGAUUAUUCUCGGAGGCGGUUCAAAGUCAUACAAACAAGUGAUUUACUGCUGUCUAAAGGUCGUACCCAGUGCACAAGGCUCCCGCUUUACGCAGGGUCUGGGAGAGGUGAAUGUCGGCUAGCCUUACCCCCAUUUAUGGAGAGGCUGCUCCCAAGUCUCGAACCCGAGACCUACCGCUCAUGGGCGAAGGCACUUGCCAUCGCACCAAGUGCGACCUCUUUGAUUUACUGCUGUCUAAAUGUGAAUUUUUCAUUGUGUUAUGUCGCAUUGCAUCGAUGUACGUGGAUUGAAUGCUUCUUUGAAAAUGACCGUAAGGAAAACCAUUUUGUUUUUA